rnacentral:rRNA from 1 species
CCUGAGAAACCCAAAAGAUCGAAUGGGGAGAUUCAUCGACGACGAAGCUGGCUCCCGUUGGCGUGCGAUUCCCCCGUUGGGACCUCUGUUCCAGAACGCGGGGUACACCCCUUCGGCGAAUAACCGGCGACGUAGUCGUGCACUUCUCCCUUAGUAGAACGUCGCGACCCGUUGUGUGUCGGUCUACGGCCUGGGCUAUUUGCCUGUCGCGGUGGCAUUCGUUCGCUCGCGGCAGAGGCUCGGUCGCCCGGCCGGCUGCACGACGGUACUCCGACGGUAUCGGGCCGCAACCAAGCCAUUCUCGAAUGGUAUAUGCGUCCAGGCCCGUCGCAAGCUCGGACAGCACCCGGAGCGUGUGGACGCAGCGCCCUCCCCGGGUCUGGCCAGCUGUUAGCAGACGGAGUCCUCGGACCGGCCAAGCUUCGAAUUACCGGUCAGCGACGCUAUUGCUUUGGGUACUCUCAGGACCCGUCUUGAAACACGGACCAAGGAGUCUAACAUGUGCGCGAGUCAUUGGGACAUUGAAACCUAAAGGCGAAAUGAAAGUGAAAGUCGUCGUAAGCGUCGACCAAGGGNAGGAUGGGCCGCGUCACGUCGCGGCCUCGCACUCCCGGGGCGUCUCGUUCUCGUUGAGAAGAGGCGCACCCAGAGCGUACACGUU